UUCUGGGGUCUCAGGAGGCAGCGCUCUCAGGAAGUCUUCACCAUGGCCCGGACUCUGCUCCUCCUCACCCUCCUCAGUCACGGCACAGGGUCCUGGGCUCAGUCUGCCCUGACUCAGCCUCCCUCAGUGUCCGGAUCUCCUGGACAGUCGGUCACCAUCUCCUGCACUGGAACCAGCAGUGAUGUUGGGGGUUAUAACUAUGUCUCCUGGUACCAGCAGCACCCAGGCAAAGCCCCCAAACCCAUGAUUUAUGAUGUCAGCAAACGGCCCUCAGGGGUCUCUAAUCGCUUCUCUGGCUCCAAGUCUGGCAACACGGCCUCCCUGACCAUCUCUGGGCUCCAGGCUGAGGACGAGGCUGAUUAUUACUGCAGCUCAUAUGCAGGCAGCGACAAUUUCCACAGUGGCCCAGGUUCAUGGGGAACUGAGACCAAAACCUGCCCUGGGCUCUGAGGCUCGCUCCUUGCUCUGAAGAUGCUUCCUCGCCCUGUGCAAGGGCUUCUUGCAUCGCUGCCUUGAGAGUUCCCCUCUCUCAGCCCCUCUCCUUUCCCCUCAUGAAAUCCAAAACUGAACUUGCUCUGUGGCUUCUCAACCAGGACAGAGACAGCUUCCUUUUGCUUGUGUGCUGUGCUCUCUGAAAGUGCUACUCUUCCUAGCUCUUUAAAUGCUGGGACAGUGACAAUGAGCUGCCUGAUUGGCAGUCCCUGCUGUUUUCAGGAACAUCCUCAUCCUAAAUGCAUCCGAAUCUCCCACUCUGUGCAGACCAAUCUGUACAGACGUUAUCAGGGGAGUUUCCAAAAACCACAUCUUACUCAACUUUGUGUCCACCACACUCUAGUGAAGAUGGCCCUCCUGGCUGGGUUAUUCUCUGCAACUCUGUCCUGAAGCAGUGAGCACUGCCAGAAAAUCUGAAGAUGUGUCUGCAGGAUUAAGAAGAAAGAGGAAUCUGAGGUUUUUGCUUAUUUAUUUGUUGGUUUUUUACUGCCCUUUCACUUUGCCCCAGUACCUCAGGCUGGGGAGAUUUUGAGUGACAAGCUCAGUGUUCUCUCAGAAUAAACCCUCCCCUCACAUCACUGAGCCCCUGUCCUGGCAAACCCCCACAAGCCCCUUCAGGUAAUAGGGACUGUGGAGUGACAUGUUGUAGGAAGCUCCACCUCCCCCCAUAGAGUGGGAGUUUCCAAAAUGGUUACACAGGGAAGGGUUAACCUGAGU